AGCGAACGUUGGCGGCAGGCCUAACACAUGCAAGUCGAACGAACCUUCGGGUGAGUGGCGGACGGGUGAGUAAUGUAUGGGAAUCUGCCUUAGUCUGGGGGAUAACUGUUGGAAACAGCAGCUAAUACCGCAUAAUCCAUAUUGGGAAAGCUCCGGCGGACUAAGAUGAGCCCAUGUCAGAUUAGCUAGUUGGUGGGGCAAAAGCCUACCAAGGCGACGAUCUGUAGCUGGUUUGAGAGGAUGAUCAGCCACACUGGAACUGAGACACGGUCCAG
rnacentral:rRNA from 1 species